rnacentral:misc_RNA from 1 species
GAUUUAUGUCUAAAUGUGCGUUAUAAAUCAAUUCGAGGGGGGGGGAUAGUGUUAAGGGUAAUGUCUAUUUAUUUUUAAUAUGAAUAAGUAAUUUUAUGUUCUAGUCGGUUAUAGAGUUUGCUUAAGUAAAUAUCACCUAUGAGGUACAAUUUGUUUCUUAUCAACUACUUAAUUGUUUAUUCAUUGUCUGUGCAUUUUUUGUACAUCUUCUUUGUAGGCCGUUAAUUCUGCUUUUAAAUUGAAUAAAUAAUGAAGUUCUUUUAAAUCA